rnacentral:rRNA from 1 species
GUUUGCCUUGCAGGUCGGACGAUUCGCGGCCUAUCAGCUUGUUGGUGAGGUAAUGGCUCACCAAGGCGACGACGGGUAGCCGGCCUGAGAGGGCGACCGGCCACACUGGGACUGAGACGCGGCCCAGACUCCUACGGGAGGCAGCAGUGGGGAAUAUUGGGCAAUGGAGGAAACUCUGACCCAGCGACGCCGCGUGAGGGAUGAAGGCCUUCGGGUUGUAAACCUCUUUCAGUAGGGAAGAAGCGAAAGUGACGGUACCUACAGAAGAAGCACCGGCUAACUAUGUGCCAGCAGCCGCGGUAAUACAUAGGGUGCAAGCGUUGUCCGGAAUUAUUGGGCGUAAAGAGCUCGUAGGUGGUUCGAUACGUCGGAUGUGAAAAUCAGGGGCUCAACCCCUGACCUGCAGCCGAUACGGUCGAGCUAGAGUUUGGUAGGGGAGACUGGAAUUCCUGGUGUAGCGGUGGAAUGCGCAGAUAUCAGGAGGAACACCGAUGGCGAAGGCAGGUCUCUGGGCCAAUACUGACACUGAGGAGCGAAAGCGUGGGGAGCGAACAGGAUUAGAUACCCUGGUAGUCCACGCCGUAAACGGUGGGCGCUAGUUGUGCGAACCUUCCACGGUUUGUGCGACGCAGCUAACGCAUUAAGCGCCCCGCCUGGGGAGUACGGAAU